AAACGGGCCUUUUUGAAGGCCACACACAUUCAUAUGUUAUAAAUUU
rfam:Onchocerca volvulus assembly O_volvulus_Cameroon_v3 genomic scaffold, OVOC_OM4